GGGCGUGUAACUCAGUGGUAGAGUGCUCGCUUCGCAUCUUCAAGGGUUCAAUUGCGAGAAGUCCAGGGUUCAACUCCCUGCUCGUCCA